GUUCGUCUGCAGUCUGCAAAAAUUUAUAGGAACUUGCGAAGCGUUUGUAGGCUUUUUCUAACUCAGCGUUAAACGGUUAUACUUUAACUGCCAUACCUGUGUUUUUCAUGGAUGUCCCGCCCCCUUAACACGUGAUUAAAACGAAGAAGUCAAGUGAAAUCAAGUCAUGGAAAUGUUUGAAAAAUCCCAGGAUUCCAAGGACACAUCGGAACAAAAAGUGAAACGUGGGUUGUUUCCUCGGUGAAAGUUGCCUGUCACUUGGGUUACCAAAAUUGUCUCUGCCUUUUUAAGUUCAGUGUUGCUGUUCAGUUUGUGUAGAAAUGAACAGUGAAGACAAAUACCUGAUGAAGUGAAACCGAGCAUUCACUGUCAAAAAAACCUUAAUUGAAUUGGUUCAUUUUGGUGAGCAACAACUAAUGUAAACAGCAUUGCAAUUCGUCCAACAAAAAUGCAUCAACAGCCAGCAUCAACAGAAGGAUGAUUUCUCAAAGAAAUUAUCCAUACACCGAACAGAUACAUAAAUUCAGACGUAGGCAUGGGCGGCUUUGCAGUGUCAUGACUCUAGUCCUUUCAUUGAGGUGCAUUCACGUAGGAACUUGGAAGUCGUCCAGUGUAGCUCCGGAAAAGAAUACUUAUUCGCUCUUAUAAAUCUUACAGCGAAAAAUGUCAACGAAAUUUCGCCCUUAAAUGCAGUUCUAAUCCUCAAGUCGACCAUCAGUUACACUGGCGAUGACAUCACUAACAAGUAACAACAUGAUUUCUGCCACCCACCAUGCCAGCCAGUUCUCCCAAUCAUUAGUGUAUCUGAAGCAAUAAUAAAAUUAUUGAAAUUCUAUGGGUGCCAAUCCCUGCAGUUCCCGCUUCUCAAUAGGAAGCACACAACAAACUUCCAAUGACAGUUAAUUUCAGCAAGGACAUCAAUAACAAAGAAGAAGUUGUUUAAUAUUUAUCAUGCUAUUAUAAAAAUGUGCCUAUAAGAGACCCAGAACAAAUGUGAAGUAUUUGGUGCACCAAAGAAAGAAGAAAAGACACUAAUGCCCUUACGUUAAACGCGGAUCAAGCAAUCGCGCAUAAAUGAAAGUUUAUGUUCCCGAAGAUACUAUCCGAUGUGGCAUGUUGUUGCAGCCUAUGUUGGCGAAACAUUUUUUUGCAUCGAAGUUAGCCUGUGGCUGUUCCCUGGUGCUGGUGUUGAGUUAGUUACGGAAGUUGCAACCAGUAUUUUGUCAAUUGUCAUUGUGUCUGGAGUUAUUACCGUUUAUGUGAUAAGAAGAAACAGAAAUAUGGGGAGUUUAUAUGUCAAACAAAUAAUGAAUAAACCGUCGCGAUUGGGAAAGCAACGAG
rnacentral:lncRNA from 1 species